GGGUGUCGGCGCGAAAGGGCGGCUUUCCGGGGCUGCGCAACUGACUCUUAAUCAGCGGGUCCAAGGUUCGAAUCCUUGUGCGCCCACCA
rnacentral:tRNA from 1 species